rnacentral:misc_RNA from 1 species
GAUGAAGAACGUAGCGAAAUGCGAUAAGUAGUGUGAAUUGCAGAAUUCAGUGAAUCAUCGAAUCUUUGAACGCACAUUGCGCCCCAUGGUAUUCCGUGGGGCAUGCCUGUUCGAGCGUCAUUUACCCCCUCAAGCUCCGCUUGGUGUUGGGCGUCUGUCCCGCUUCGCGCGCGGACUCGCCCCAAAGGUAUUGGCAGCGGUCGUGCCAGCUUCUCGCGCAGCACAUUGCGCUUCUCGAGGCACCGGUGGGCCCGCGUCCAACAAGCUCACCCCCCCAGUUUGACCUCGGAUCAGGUAGGGAUACCCGCUGAACUUAAGCAUAUCAAUAAGCGGAGGA